rnacentral:lncRNA from 1 species
GGUUGGACAGGAAUGAAAAGAGAACAUAGAGAUGAGACCAGAAAUGUGGACCUGCUGACCUUGGUAUUGUGGGAUCCUGACACAUACAUUCUCCAGAUUCACUGAGCUAUCACUGGGUGGGCUCUGAGGAGGUUCCUAUGAGGAAAAUAGGGACCUCAGCUUGCCGCCACCACCCACAGAGUAGGCUCAUAGAAUUUCAUCGCAGAAAAGAAUUCAUGACAUACCAAUGAGAAGCAGAAUUAAAUGUGUAUAUGCUCAAAGGAGAACAAUUCUGUGAGAUAUGCACUUCUACUAUCUGCAUUUCGAAGACACAGAAACUGAAGUGUGGAGAGAUGAAUCUGUUUGCCAGAGCCCUGCACCUUAUUAGAACUGUGCUCCCUGCCUACCAUCCAUCUCACAGUAACAGCAACCUCAUUUUGCUUCUUCUUGUGUCCCAUGAGGAAUUCUGUGAUAGCCUGGCCGAUUCUUCAGAAAGCUGCCUCUGUCAUUGGAUCAAGAGGUAAAAGUGGUAAACAUAGAAAACAACUGAAGAUAUUCCAAAGGAACACCCAGUAUGGCGAUUAGGAGACAGAACUUUGGAAACCGCACACUCUGGACUAACUCCCAGCUCUUCACCUCUUAGCUGUAUGAUCUUACGAAGUUGCAUAUUUAGACUCAGGUGAAUCAUCUAUAAAAUGGGGACAAUAAUUCCUAUCUCACAAUAUUAUGAAUAACGAAAAACUCAAUAAAAUGAGUUCAUAUGCAUAAAGUACUUAAAACUGUUUCCAGCAUAUUGAUAAUGCCCCUCUUAAUAAAUAAUCUAUUAUUCAAAUAUUUAUAUUAUCUAGAGCACAUGGGAUAGUGUUUCUACCUGUAAAUUUCAAUUCAAACUUCACAAUUAUAUUAACUCAUAAAGUCAAGCAUAGACUGCCGGUACAUCUCUCUUAGUUACUUUUCUCUUCUCUGAGAAAUACCUAACACCCAAAGUUAAAGGAG